CAGAUCGGGAUCGGAAACUCUUCAGAUUGCCUCCUUCCAGCCAAGGCCUGUAUCUCCUUCCUGGAGCAUAGGCCAUCGACUACUGCCCUCCACCGUUGUCUGUUCUGUGCUACCAUCACAAGCUGCCCCCAUCCCAUUCCUGUCAGCUUGACUUCUGCAUCCAGAUCUCGGCGCCGGGUGUUCUGUGGCUGUCCCCCUUUUCUUUCUCCUUGCGGGUUCCAUGUCAGAGACUGUCUUGUGAUGUUGAAUCAUGGUUUUCUCAAGGUGUGGCCAAGCCAUCCCCAUUUCCUUCUCAGGAUCUCUUGUUCCAAAGGACGUUCCAACAUCCUCACUGCUGCUAAUAGAGUGCUGAGUAACUUCCCUGACAACUUAAUAAAUUACAAUAAAAUACAAGAUGUCUAUAAGAGAGCAGCUAUAUCUGCUGAUUGCUAAGGGGUGUGCUAACCAGUGGAUUCAGAGCAAAAUAUGCCUGAGAACAGACAAUUAUUUUAUUCUCCAUGUUAGAAUUUGGCUUUGAUUUCCCAGUUGUAAUCAUAAAUUGUAAAAUGGAUCCAGGAACAAGUUCUCUUAGGUUGAUAUGAUCCCAAAGUGCCCACUGACUCUCCUGUGGCGAUGUAAAACUGUGUUGCUUUCAUUUAAAUUAGAGCCACUCAUGGUCCCACCUCCACAGGUCAUGGUUGCCUGGCUAAAUAACACUGCUGUUUAAUUUCCCUUACAUAAUAUGAGUGUCCAUAUUAAUUAAGACUUAAGUUGUUUAAAGUUUUUAAGGACUUUGAGAAAGCUUCUAUUCUUUAAAAAAAGGGGGGGGGGGCACUUACAGCAAGACUGAGCAUUCAGGUAUUAGACACAGGCUCAGUUUGAAAAUUUGGCCCAAAAAUGCAUACAUUUUCACAUGAAGUGGUCUUUUCAGCUGAUAUUUUGAACAAUGUUUGUAACCAAACUAUUGACAAUAGCCACUAACUUGUGAAACAGGCGUGAGUCUUGUCGAGGUUUUUUUUUUGGGAAGCUUGGUAAUUUCACAUUAGGCAUACACACAGGUUCGAAGACUCGUUCUCGCCCCCUACAGUGCAAUUCGUCUAGGUAUACGUCCGCGCUAAACUAUCACGGUGAAAGUCAUCAUAGCUUGCGUAGUAUAGACCCAGCUCCCAACCCAACUUUGAGAAUAGAUUAACGGAUUAAUUAGGAUAUCCCUGAGUGUCUCCAAAUGAAGGUUUAGUCAGAUUUAAUUAACUUUUUGUUAACACAUUCUCUUUUUGUUGUCAUUAAAACAAGUUGUUUUAUGCAUCUAAUUCGCUAUGCAUUCUGGGAUUAGUAAUUCGUCAAAAUGAUGGCAUAUAUAGGAUAAGCUGUUUAAUUUCAUCAUGAGCUAUACUGAAAUCCACACACUUUAUCAACAGAAGUCAUUGCAGUUACAUGUCACAGGGGGCAGCAUGGAGCGAAGCAGACGGCUUGGGCCUUGAUCACACUGGGCAGCUGAAUGAGGAAGCCUGGCGUGGGAAGAAAUGGUUUUAUUAUGCUCUGAAAUAGCCACACUCACAGCAUAUGGAUUUGAGAUUAAUAUCUCUUUCCCAUGAAUGCCCACAGAGAACAAAGUAAAACCAGAUUUAACACAAAACAACAUCUUGUUCAUGUGGUAGGGAGUUUUCUGACAGUGAUUGAGGUCUGCUGUAUCUCCGAAUGAUUAGAUCUGAUGUAAAAUGUGUCUUUUCUUAGUGCUGGUUUCGUUAAUUGAUUUUCUUUUGUUUGAUGUCUUGGAGCAUAAACAAAUGCCAGUGGGACCAAAAUUAGGCCAUUACAUCUAAAAAGGAAAAUAUAAUCUGCAACAUCUAAUAAAAUAAAUAAAUAAAUAAAUAAAUAAAUAAAU
ensembl:lncRNA